AUUGAACGCUGGCGGCAGGCCUAACACAUGCAAGUCGAGCGAGCGGCGGACGGGUGAGUAAUGUAUGGGAAUCUGCCCGAUGGAGGGGGAUAACUACUGGAAACGGUUGCUAAUACCGCAUACUAUCGGAUGUCCCCAUAUGGGAUUAGCUAGUAGGUGGGGUAAAGGCUCACCUAGGCGACGAUCCCUAGCUGGUCUGAGAGGAUGAUCAGCCACACUGGGACUGAGACACGGCCCAGACUCCUACGGGAGGCAGCAGUGGGGAAUAUUGCACAAUGGGCGCAAGCCUGAUGCAGCCAUGCCGCGUGUAUGAAGAAGGCCUUCGGGUUGUAAAGUACUUUCAGCGGGGAGGCGUUACCCGCAGAAGAAGCACCGGCUAACUCCGUGCCAGCAGCCGCGGUAAUUC
rnacentral:rRNA from 1 species